ACGUGAGUCUGAGUGAACUCCGGGAGUUGGUGAUGGACAGACAGGGAGGCCUGGCGUGCUGCUAUUCAUGGGGUCGCAAAGAGUCGGACACGACUGAGUGACUGAUCUGAUCUGAUCUGGGCAGGCAGUGGGGAGAGUUCUCGCGGUACUAGCAGAGUUCUCGCCGGGCCAGCAGAGUUCUCGCAGGGCUAGCAGAGUUCUCGUGAGGUGACGGAGCUCUCGAGAGACAGGCACAGCUGUGCAGUUGGGUCCAGGUCUCAGCAGAGGGCAGGUCACCAACAUCUUGAAUUGAGCCAUAGAGAGUAAAGCAUGUCUGCCUUGCUGCUGUGAAUAAAGAAUAUCUGCAGUUUCUACGUCUCCUCACAUCUUCUUCCAGCUUCCACACUCUCGCCUUGCCUAUCCUGGGUUCUGCCAACAGUGAGAUACAGCAAGACGGGCCAGUUUCAUUGAAGGUCAGUGUUUCCUUCUGCAUGGUCUGAAAUACCUACCGUGGCUGUUUUGAUGAACAAGGUAUAAGUCACUCUUUGGAGCCACAAGAGAAGAACUACUUCUAGAAGUUACAAAUAUCUCACACACAGUUAGGUCAACCUCAUCUGGUGAGUUGAAGGCCUUAAUAGAACAAAGACUGACCUCCCUCACCAAGAAGGAAUUCUGCCAAAACACUGCCUUUGGACUCAGAUUGCAGCUUUUUCCUGGCCUCCAGCCUGCCAGAUUAAAGAUAUGGGACUUACCAAAGACCAAAAGCCUCCACAAUCAUAACAAUUUACAGAGAUUCAAGAGUUGGUGACAUGAUGAUGACAUGGAAAAUGGAAGAUUUUCCCCACUGCUAUUUGUUUUAAAGAAAAAUGACAGAGGUCAAGUCCUGGGUUGAUGUACUGCUCUGACAAGAUCCACUGUGACACUGGGAACACCCUAACAUGAACUGUUUUCUCAGGAAACAGGCCAACUGCUUUGAUCUCAAGUGGACAAAUCAGAAAGGCAGUUUUUCACCAGUUCAAUGGGAAGAUGACCUCUGCUCCUACUGCAAGAGAAGGGUACCGACAGACUGAGUGUAUGGGAGUUCUGAGUUUUGGGACACCUGGAUUUGACUGUUGAUCUUCAAAUAUCCACUGCUUCAAAAUCAGUCUAGGAAUCAUGUUUACAUCCCAAGCACCAGACUGCCUUUCAGCAUGAUGAUGCCCUUAAACUCAGUUCCUUACAGGUGGGUUUCCUGAGAGCACUCCUCAGUAAGCUUUCCAGCUGCGUCUGCAUUGUAGUAUCUGUGUCGAACAAACCCAAGCUAAGACGGGACUUGAAAGUGAUUUUGAGAGACAGGCUUUCCUGAUGGCCCAGCAGUAAAAUAUCUGCCUGCAAUGCAGGAGAUGCACGAGACACA